rnacentral:rRNA from 1 species
CAAGCUCAUGCUCGGCUCAAAAGAUAUGAAGUCUCCGACAAGUUCUACAGUUAUAAGAUGGAGGAAAAUAGUUCUAUCAGUGAGCACAUACUCAAAAUGUCUGGGUUGCACAACCGCUUGUCCCAGCUGGACAUUAACCUCCCGGACGAGGCGGUCAUUGACAGAAUCCUUCAUUCGCUCCCACCGAGCUACAAGAGCUUUGUGAUGAACUACAAUAUGCAGGGGAUGGUGAAAACUAUUCCUGAAGUUUUCAAUGCUGAAGUCAGCAGAGGUAGAAAUCAAGAAGGAACAUCAAGUGUUGAUGGUCAAUAA